UACGUAGGUGGCAAGCGUUGUCCGGAUUUAUUGGGUUUAAAGGGUGCGUAGGUGGGGUGGUAAGUCAGUGGUGAAAUCUCCAGGCUUAACUCGGAAAGGUCAACUGAUACUGUGCGACUAGAGUGCGGAAGGGGCAACUGGAAUUCUCGGUGUAGCGGUGAAAUGCGUAGAUAUCGAGAGGAACACCUGCGGCGAAGGCGGGUUGCUGGGCCGACACUGACGCUGAUGCGCGAAAGCCAGGGGAGCGAACGGG
rnacentral:rRNA from 1 species